rnacentral:rRNA from 1 species
GACGAACGCUGGCGGCGUGCCUAACACAUGCAAGUCGAGCGGAGAAAAUUGAAAGCUUGCUUUUGGUUUUCUUAGCGGCGGACGGGUGAGUAACGCGUGGGCAACCUGCCUAUCACAAGGGGAUAACACAGGGAAACUUGUGCUAAUACCGCAUAACACAACGAGGUAGCAUUACCUUGCUGUCAAAGGAGCAAUCCGGUGAUAGAUGGGCCCGCGUCCAAUUAGCUAGUUGGUGAUGUAACGGACCACCAAGGCGACGAUUGGUAGCCGAACUGAGAGGUUGAUCGGCCACAUUGGGACUGAGACACGGCCCAGACUCCUACGGGAGGCAGCAGUGGGGAAUAUUGCACAAUGGGGGAAACCCUGAUGCAGCAACGCCGCGUGAAGGAUGAAGGUUUUCGGAUUGUAAACUUCUUUAGUCAGGGACGAAUAAAUGACGGUACCUGAAGAAUAAGCCACGGCUAACUACGUGCCAGCCGCCGCGGUAA